AGAGUUUGAUCCUGGCUCAGAACGAACGCUGGCGGCGUGGAUCAGACAUGCAAGUCGAACGGGGUUAAUCUGGUAGCAAUAUCGGGUUAACCUAGUGGCGAACGGGUGCGUAACACGUGACCAACCUGCCUAAAAGUGGGGGAUAGCUCGCCGAAAGGCGGAUUAAUACCGCAUGUGAUCGUAAGAUCAAAGCAGCAAUGCGCUUUUAGAGGGGGUCGCGGCCUAUCAGCUAGUUGGUGAGGUAACGGCUUACCAAGGCAGCGACGGGUAGCUGGUCUGAGAGGACGACCAGCCACACUGGAACUGAGACACGGUCCAGACACCUACGGGUGGCAGCAGUCGAGAAUUUUUCUCAAUGGGGGAAACCCUGAAGGAGCGACGCCGCGUGGAGGAUGAAGGCUUUCGGGUUGUAAACUCCUGU
rnacentral:rRNA from 1 species